GAUGAACGCUGGCGGCGUGCCUAAUACAUGCAAGUCGAGCGAACAGAUGAGGAGCUUGCUCCUCUGACGUUAGCGGCGGACGGGUGAGUAACACGUGGAUAACCUACCUAUAAGACUGGGAUAACUUCGGGAAACCGGAGCUAAUACCGGAUAAUAUAUUGAACCGCAUGGUUCAAUAGUGAAAGACGGUUUUGCUGUCACUUAUAGAUGGAUCCGCGCCGCAUUAGCUAGUUGGUAAGGUAACGGCUUACCAAGGCAACGAUGCGUAGCCGACCUGAGAGGGUGAUCGGCCACACUGGAACUGAGAAACGGUCCAGACUCCUACGGGAGGCAGCAGUAGGGAAUCUUCCGCAAUGGGCGAAAGCCUGACGGAGCAACGCCGCGUGAGUGAUGAAGGUCUUCGGAUCGUAAAACUCUGUUAUUAGGAAAGAACAAAUGUGUAAGUAACUAUGCACGUCUUGACGGUACCUAAUCAGAAAGCCACGGCUAACUACGU
rnacentral:rRNA from 1 species